rnacentral:rRNA from 1 species
UACGAAGGGGGCGAGCGUUGUUCGGAAUACUGGGCGUAAAGCGUGCGCAGGCGGUGAUGUAAGACAGGUGUGAAAUCCCCGGGCUUAACCUGGGAACUGCAUUUGUGACUGCAUAGCUAGAGUACGGUAGAGGGGGAUGGAAUUCCGCGUGUAGCAGUGAAAUGCGUAGAUAUGCGGAGGAACACCGAUGGCGAAGGCAAUCCCCUGGACCUGUACUGACGCUCAUGCACGAAAGCGUGGGGAGCAAACGAGG